rnacentral:lncRNA from 1 species
GGGAGACAUGGAAGAGUGGGGAAUAUCUAGUGGUGUUGUAGUGGUAAUUUGGUGAAGAAAAGGUGGCUAAUGCUGGUGGUAUGGUGACAAAAUGUAGAAAAAGUGAUAGUGGAAAGAGGAAGAGAAGAGAGAAAAAAGAUGAGAGAAAGUGAAUAAAAAUAAAAAUGAGUGUUUUUGGGCGUCUAAGUACAUUGGUCAGCCAUGGUAAGGUAAAGGGACAGAAAAUAACAAUAAGGGAAAUAUAGACACAAAAAGUAAAUCAU